UACGUAGGGUGCAAGCGUUAAUCGGAAUUACUGGGCGUAAAGCGUGCGCAGGCGGUUUUGUAAGUCAGAUGUGAAAUCCCCCGGGCUUAACCUGGGAACUGCGUUUGAAACUACAAGGCUAGAGUGUGGCAGAGGGGGGUGGAAUUCCACGUGUAGCAGUGAAAUGCGUAGAGAUGUGGAGGAACACCGGUGGCGAAGGCGGCCAUCUGGACGGAUACUGACGCUGAGACGCGAAAGCGUGGGGAGCAAACAGG
rnacentral:rRNA from 1 species